rnacentral:rRNA from 1 species
GGGGUGAAGUCGUAACAAGGUAACCGUAGGGGAACCUGCGGUUGGAUCACCUCCUUACCAUAAAGA